AGAGUUUGAUCUUGGCUAAGGACGAACGCUGGCGGCGUGCCUAACACAUGCAAGUCGAACGGGAUCCACGCCAUGAAGUUUUCGGAUGGAUUGGUGUGGUGAGAGUGGCGAACGGGCGAGUAACGCGUGAGCAACCUACCUCGUACUGGGGGAUAACGUCGGGAAACCGGCGCUAAUACCGCAUAAGACUACGAUGCCGCAUGGCAAUGUAGUCAAAGCUCCGGCGGUACGAGACGGGCUCGCGUCCGAUUAGCUAGUUGGUAGGGUAACGGCCUACCAAGGCGACGAUCGGUAGCCGGACUGAGAGGUCGGCCGGCCACAUUGGGACUGAGACACGGCCCAGACUCCUACGGGAGGCAGCAGUGGGGAAUAUUGCGCAAUGGGGGAAACCCUGACGCAGCGACGCCGCGUGAAGGAAGAAGGCCUUCGGGUUGUAAACUUCUUUGAUCGGGGACGAAGGAAGACGGUACCCGAGGAACAAGCCACGGCUAACUACGUGCCAGCAGCCGCGGUAAUACGUAGGUGGCGAGCGUUGUCCGGAAUUACUGGGCGUAAAGGGCGUGUAGGCGGGGUGACAAGUCAGAUGUGAAAUACUGCAGCUUAACUGCGGGGCUGCAUCUGAAACUGUUCUUCUUGAGUGUCGGAGAGGAAAGUGGAAUUCCCAGUGUAGCGGUGAAAUGCGUAGAGAUUGGGAGGAACACCAGUGGCGAAGGCGGCUUUCUGGACGACAACUGACUCUGAGGCGCGAAAGCGUGGGGAGCAAACAGGAUUAGAUACCCUGGUAGUCCACGCUGUAAACGAUGGAUACUAGGUGUAGGAGGUAUCGACCCCUCCUGUGCCGGAGUUAACACAAUAAGUAUCCCGCCUGGGGAGUACGGCCGCAAGGUUGAAACUAAAAAGAAUUGACGGA
rnacentral:rRNA from 1 species